UGUUCUAAAGAAGGACUUUUAUUUUGAUAUAGUUUUGACUUUUUUCCAUAGUUCUUCCUAUUGUUUCCUGUUUUAAGAGGAAGUAGGCCAUAUUACUUUACUGCUUUAGUUUUACAAGGUACUCCAUGUGGUUGCAGUCAUCAAACAUCAUCAUGCCAUUUAAAGCCCUUUGAAAUGCAAUAUCUAUUCAAGAUUGGGGACCCAAUUAUAACGCUUCAACAUGAAAAAGGGCAGAGAAAGAUUUACCCUACAGGCACUGUUUGGCAGACUGCACUCUGAGCCACUGGGCUACUGCAACAGACCACAAGACCCACUUCUCUUCACGGGACCAAACUCUCUCCGAACUCAAUACCUCGAU